GACGAACGCUGGCGGCGUGCCUAAUACAUGCAAGUCGAGCGCAGGAAGCCGUCUGAACCCUUCGGGGGGACGACGGUGGAAUGAGCGGCGGACGGGUGAGUAACACGUAAAGAACCUGCCCAUAGGUCUGGGAUAACCACGAGAAAUCGGGGCUAAUACCGGAUGUGUCAUCGGACCGCAUGGUCCGCUGAUGAAAGGCGCUCCGGCGUCGCCCAUGGAUGGCUUUGCGGUGCAUUAGCUAGUUGGUGGGGUAACGGCCCACCAAGGCGACCAUGAAUCGCCGAGCAGAGAGGGGGAUCGGACACACUGGGACUGGGACACGGCCCAGACUCCUACGGAGGGCAGCAGUAGGGAAUCUUCCACAAUGGACGAAAGUCUGAUGGAGCAACGCCGCGUGAACGAUGAAGGCUUUCGGGUCGUAAAGUUCUGUUGUAAGGGAAGAACAAGUGCCGCAGGCAAUGGCGGCACCUUGACGGUACCUUGCGAGAAAGCCACGGCUAACUACGUGCCAGCCGCCGCAGUAA
rnacentral:rRNA from 1 species